rnacentral:rRNA from 1 species
GACGAACGCUGGCGGCGUGCUUAACACAUGCAAGUCGAACGCUGAAGCUCAGCUUUUGUUGGGUGGAUGAGUGGCGAACGGGUGAGUAACACGUGAGUAACCUGCCCCCUUCUUUGGGAUAACGCCCGGAAACGGGGGCUAAUACUGGAUAUUCACUGGUCUUCGCAUGGGGUUGGUGGAAAGGGUUGUUCUGGUGGGGGAUGGGCGCGCGGCCUAUCAGCUUGUUGGUGGGGUGAUGGCCUACCAAGGCUUUGACGGGUAGCCGGCCUGAGAGGGUGACCGGUCACAUUGGGACUGUGAUACGGCCCAGACUCCUACGGGAGGCAGCAGUGGGGAAUAUUGCACAAUGGGCGCCAGCCUGAUGCAGCGACGCCGCGCGAGGGCUGGAGGCCUUCGGGUUGUGAACCUCUUUCGCUCAUGGUCAAGCCGCAACAAUGGUUGUGGUGAGGGUAGUGGGUAAAGAAGCGCCGGCUAACUACGUG